GCCUGCAUAGCUCAGUUGGUUAGAGCAUGGUGCUAAUGAUGCAAAGGCUGCAGGUUUGAUCCCUGGGGCAGCUGCA